rnacentral:rRNA from 1 species
AUACGGAGGGUGCAAGCGUUACUCGGAAUCACUGGGCGUAAAGCGCGCGCAGGCGGCCAUUUAAGUUGGAUGUGAAAGCCUACGGCUCAACCGUAGAACUGCAUCCAAAACCAUUUGGCUAGAGUGUGGGAGAGGAAGAUGGAAUUAGUUGUGUAGGGGUAAAAUCCGUAGAGAUAACUAGGAAUACCAAAAGCGAAGGCAAUCUUCUGGAACACUACUGACGCUGAGGCGCGAAAGCGUGGGGAGCAAACAGGAUUAGAAACCCCUGUAGUCC